GACGAACGCUGGCGGCGUGCCUAAUACAUGCAAGUAGAACGCUGAAGCGAGGAGCUUGCUCUUCUUGGAUGAGUUGCGAACGGGUGAGUAACGCGUAGGUAACCUGCCUUGUAGCGGGGGAUAACUAUUGGAAACGAUAGCUAAUACCGCAUAACAAUGGAUGACACAUGUCAUUUAUUUGAAAGGGGCAAUUGCUCCACUACAAGAUGGACCUGCGUUGUAUUAGCUAGUAGGUGAGGUAAUGGCUCACCUAGGCGACGAUACAUAGCCGACCUGAGAGGGUGAUCGGCCACACUGGGACUGAGACACGGCCCAGACUCCUACGGGAGGCAGCAGUAGGGAAUCUUCGGCAAUGGGGGCAACCCUGACCGAGCAACGCCGCGUGAGUGAAGAAGGUUUUCGGAUCGUAAGGCUCUGUUGUAAGUCAAGAACGGGUGUGAGAGUGGAAAGUUCACACUGUGACGGUAGCUUACCAGAAAGGGACGGCUAACUACGUG
rnacentral:rRNA from 1 species